rnacentral:rRNA from 1 species
GUGAGGAAUAUUGGUCAAUGGGCGCAAGCCUGAACCAGCCAUGCCGCGUGCAGGAAGACGGUCCUAUGGAUUGUAAACUGCUUUUAUUUGGGAAUAAACUCCGGUACGUGUACCGGCCUGAAGGUACCAAAUGAAUAAGCACCGGCUAACUCCGUGCCAGCAGCCGCGGUAAUACGGAGGGUGCAAGCGUUAUCCGGAAUCAUUGGGUUUAAAGGGUCCGCAGGCGGUCUUAUAAGUCAGUGGUGAAAGCCUACCGCUCAACUGUAGAACUGCCAUUGAUACUGUAGGACUUGAAUUCGAUCGAAGUGGGCGGAAUUUGACAUGUAGCGGUGGAAUGCUUAGAUAUGUCACAGAACACCGAUAGCGAAGGCAGCUCACUAGGUCUGGAUUGACGCUCAGGGACGAAAGCGUGGGGAGCAAACAGGAUUAGAUACCCGGGUAGUCC